CCUACGGGUGGCAGCAGUGGGGAAUAUUGCACACUGGGGGAAACCCUGAUGCAGCGACGCCGCGUGAGUGAAGAAGUAAUUCGUUAUGUAAAGCUCUAUCAGCAGGUCAGAAAAUGACGGUACCUGCGUAAGACGCCCCGGCUAACUACGUGCCAGCCGCCGCGGUAAUACGUAUGGGGCAAGCGUUAUCCGGAAUCACUGGGUGGAAAGUGAACGUAGACGGCUGUGCAAGCCUGACGUGAAAGGCGGGGGCCCAACCCCUGGACUGCUUUGGGAACUGUACGGCUGGAGUGCAGGAGAGGUAAGUAGAAUUCCUAGUGUAGCGGUGAAAUGCGUAGAUAUUAGGAGGAACACCAGUGGCGAAGGCGGCUUACUGGACUGUAACUGACGUUGAGGCUCGAAAGCGUGGGGAGCAAACAGGAUUAGAUACCCCAGUAGUC
rnacentral:rRNA from 1 species